UACGGAGAGUGCGAACGUUGUUCGGAUUCACUGGGCGUAAAGCGCACGUAGGCGGCUUUUUAAGUCAGGGGUGAAAUCCUGGAGCUCAACUCCAGAACUGCCUUUGAUACUGAGAAGCUUGAGUCCGGGAGAGGUGAGUGGAACUGCGAGUGUAGAGGUGAAAUUCGUAGAUAUUCGCAAGAACACCAGUGGCGAAGGCGGCUCACUGGCCCGGUACUGACGCUGAGGUGCGAAAGCGUGGGGAGCAAACAGGG
rnacentral:rRNA from 1 species